rnacentral:rRNA from 1 species
UACAGAGGUGGCAAGCGUUGUUCGGAGUUACUGGGCGUAAAGGGCGCGUAGGCGGCCAUCUAAGUCAGACGUGAAAUCCCCCGGCUUAACCUGGGAACUGCGUCUGAUACUGGACGGCUUGAGUAUGGGAGAGGGAUGUAGAAUUCCAGGUGUAGCGGUGAAAUGCGUAGAUAUCUGGAGGAAUACCGGUGGCGAAGGCGGCAUCCUGGACCAUUACUGACGCUGAGGCGCGAAAGCUAGGGGAGCAAACGGG